AUUGAACGCUGGCGGCAGGCCUAACACAUGCAAGUCGAGCGGAGCGGCGGACGGGUGAGUAAUGCCUAGGACUCUGCCUGUUCGUGGGGGAUAACGUCCGGAAACGGGCGCUAAUCCCGCAUACUAUCCUAUUAGCCUAGGUCGGAUUAGCUAGGUGGUGGGGUAAAGGCCUACCAAGGCGACGAUCCGUACCUGGUCUGAGAGGAUGAUCCGUCACACGGGAACUGAGACACGGUCCAGACUCCUACGGGAGGCAGCAGUGGGGAAUAUUGGACAAUGGGCGAAAGCCUGAUCCAGCCAUGCCGCGUGUGGGAAGAAGGUCUUCGGAUUGUAAAGCACUUUAAGUUGGGAGGCGUUACCAACAGAAUAAGCACCGGCUAACUUCGUGCCAGCAGCCGCGGUAAUUC
rnacentral:rRNA from 1 species